UCUGCACAGCACAGCUCAUAUCUGUAUUGAGUUGCACAACCCCCUUUUCCACACAAGGCUGUGAUCCAUGAAGGAGAUGAAUGAGUUAACAUUUAAAUAGGAGGAUUCAGUUGGGCCUCAUUGAACAGAUGAUGUCUGAGCAAAGAUUUAAAUGAGAUGAGAGAAUGCUGUAGGGAUGUAACUAGAAGUGUAUUCUAAGGAGAUGGAUUCCAGGAGGGCCAGUUACUCAUCUGGUAACUGAGGAAAGAGGAUGAAGAUGGGUAAAAAAUAGAAUUUUAAGGGCUGAAGUUUGCAAGGCUUCUUGCUAGAUAAGUGACCCCAGCAGGCACAGUUCCAAGGAGCAAGAAGUUUCUAGAAUGACAAAAGACAGUUAUAAAAGAGGAACUGAGAAGUAUUUACUAUGCUUUCCACAGGUCUUGGCAUACUGUCAUCUACUAGGAGUCACUAUAAAUAGACUGUUUGAAAAAUCACAGAGGUUUAAAUGACAACCAAGAGCUAGGGUGCCACUGAAAGGAAUAUCACAAGAAUCAGGAAUAUGACAGAAGGCAUCACAAAAUAUCACAGAAGGAAUGAAUUUAUUUGCUUCAAGCAUGCUAGUCAACAACUGUUUACAAACUUGAGAAAGAAAAUCAAUUCUAACCUUUCAUUUAACAAGCAACUCUUACUUAUUGAGCCCGACUAUAUAGAUAGUGCUGAGAUGAACCAACUAUCUACUGAUGAGACAGUGUUAAAUUAAUGUAUCUAUUUAACAAGCUUCUAUUUUGUGUGUCAAGCACUAUACUUUAGGUCCUGGGUGAUUAGUGAAUAAAAAACAGACAUGAUUCUAUCCUUUGAAGUUUUCUGUCUACUGAAGGAAACGGUUACUAAAUAAACAGU